AUGCUUGUUUCAGCAGCACAUAUACUAAAAUUGGAACUAUACAGAAAAGACUAUAAUGCAUAGCCUUUGUGUAAGGAUGGCAUGCAAAUUUAUGAAGCAUUCCAUAUUUUC
ensembl:snRNA U6 U6 spliceosomal RNA